CUGUCUUAAUUAUAAAUAUUAAAUUUAACUUUUAAGUGAAAAGGCUUAAAUAAUAGAAAGGGACGAUAAGACCCUAUAAAACUUGAUAUAAUUUUUAUUAAUUUACAUUUUUAUUAGUUUAGUGAAAAUUAGUUUAAUUUUAUUUUGUUGGGGCGACAUAAAUAUAAUAUAAAUAACUGUUUAUUUUAAAAACAUAAAAUAAGUGAUUUUUUUGAUCCUUAAAUUAAGAUUAUAAGAUAAAGUUACUUUAGGGAUAACAGCGUUAUUUUUUUUGAGAGUUCAAAUCGACAAAAAAGAUUGCGACCUCGAUGUUGAAUUAAAAGUUCUUAAUGGCGUAGCCGUUAUUAAAGAAGGUCUGUUCGACCUGUGAUAUUUUA
rnacentral:rRNA from 1 species